AAAGUUAAUUUUUGUCUCAGGAUGAGCUUUUAGCUCAGACAUUCCCAGCGAUUCCACGGGGUUUUCCGUGGUGCCUGGACUGCCUAGGACAGCCUGUCGCUAGUCUUGCCUUAGUCUGUGUUGUUUCUGCUUUUUAACAACAGUCCUUCCUCAGCGAACCCGCCACUGCCACCUUUUCUGCUGUUUUUCCAUGGGCUGUUUUUCCACAGCCGGUUUCAUCAGGGGAACGACUCCCUUUCCCACCUGAAAACGAUUUACUUGCUUUGCAAAACAAAGCCAAACAAAUGGGACGAACAAAAACAUUUGUUGCUCAGAAACCUGUGGAUCAACAAGGCUUCUGCGCGAGAGUUUUUUGAUCUUCACUGAUCUUCAAUUGGACUUUUCGGCAAAGAUGUUCGUGACGGGGAAUUUCCAGCACGGAAAGUGUUUCAACCUGGUGGAACCCGAUCAGCGCCGAAUGUUCAGAUUGGGAAGGGAAUUAUUAAUUAUUAAUUAAGCCAACACAAAGGAGCACAGGCUGAGAACAUGAUCAGGAUCUGUCACGAGACGUUCCCAAAUUGAAGCUCGGAACUGCUGAGCACGUGGAUAUUCGUGGAGCGUGGAUAAAGUCUGGCCUGGAACUUCCACGAUUUGAGCUGGAAAUGGCAGUAAUGAAUUACAUGUUCAAGAAGAAAAAUUGGCCCUUCGCUCCAUGAAGGUUUGUUUUGCUAAUGAAGAUGUCACUUUUUGCAUCCAAUUAACUGAGAAGCAGCACUUCGGAGAAAAAUUGAGCCUGGGAGUUAUUUCUGGAAUGCACACCCAGGGGAUUUGGGUCAGAGAGCAGCAGGUCAAGCUGACAGCGCCCUCGAGAGACUCC